rnacentral:lncRNA from 1 species
GAACGCGACAGCGGCGUGCAAGCCACGGCAGCGGCGCUGUGGGGACAGCUGGGCUCGGACGUCUCUCUUCGAUGAAGGACGAGCGAGAAAAAGGAGCUUUUAGUUCGCUUAAGGAUGUUGAAUAUCUUCAGAGUUGCAGUACACAGUCUGUGUUCUUGGCAAAUGCAGUGCAAGAGCUACACAGGAAAACACCCAUAACUUUGACAGAACCUUGAAACAGUACUGCAUAAUUCAAAACCAGCCAUUUCUGAAUUCUUCAAAUCGCUCACUUUGAUAAUCAUCUAGCUCCACUGCCAGGUUCUUCUGCCAGGUAUUGCUGAAGUGAAUGCUGAAAUGCCCUUGCUGUAUAAUAGGUAUUUUCUUAGUCAGGCCCCUAAUUUAUGGUCCCUAUAUUUAUGGUAUUUGUUACUCAGCUGCUAUCAACAGGUACUGCUCAUUUCUACUUAGAAGCUGACAGUUGAAAAGUUUCAAAAGAAACUCAUGUCCUGACUUGGUGAUCCUGUGGAAGCUGACUCUUGGGGACUGUUUCUCAGGUUACAAAUCACAAACAAAUUCUCAGAGUGCAGCAUCUGGACAGAGAGCCAACCGUAUCCUGGGCUGCAUCCACAGCAAGGUGGCCAGUAGGGUGAGGUAAGAACUCUGCUCCUCUGCUCUGCUCUGCUCUGCUGAGACCCCACCUGCAGUGCUGCAUCAGCUCUGGG